AUUGAACGCUGGCGGCAUGCCUUACACAUGCAAGUCGAACGGUAACAGGUCUUCGGAUGCUGACGAGUGGCGAACGGGUGAGUAAUACAUCGGAACGUGCCUAGUAGUGGGGGAUAACUACUCGAAAGAGUGGCUAAUACCGCAUGAGAUCUACGGAUGAAAGCAGGGGAUCGCAAGACCUUGUGCUACUAGAGCGGCCGAUGGCAGAUUAGGUAGUUGGUGGGAUAAAAGCUUACCAAGCCGACGAUCUGUAGCUGGUCUGAGAGGACGAUCAGCCACACUGGGACUGAGACACGGCCCAGACUCCUACGGGAGGCAGCAGUGGGGAAUUUUGGACAAUGGGCGCAAGCCUGAUCCAGCAAUGCCGCGUGCAGGAAGAAGGCCUUCGGGUUGUAAACUGCUUUUGUACGGAACGAAACGGCCUGGGUUAAUACCCUGGGCUAAUGACGGUACCGUAAGAAUAAGCACCGGCUAACUACGUGCCAGCAGCCGCCGUAA
rnacentral:rRNA from 1 species